CCUACGGGAGACAGCAGUGAGGAAUAUUGGUCAAUGGGCGCUAGCCUGAACCAGCCAAGUAGCGUGAAGGAUGACUGCCCUAUGGGUUGUAAACUUCUUUUAUAUGGGAAUAAAGUGCAGUAUGUAUACUGCUUUGCAUGUACCUUAUGAAUAAGGAUCGGCUAACUCCGUGCCAGCAGCCGCGGUAAUACGGAGGAUCCGAGCGUUAUCCGGAUUUAUUGGGUUUAAAGGGAGCGUAGGCGGGUUGUUAAGUCAGUUGUGAAAGUUUGCGGCUCAACCGUAAAAUUGCAGUUGAUACUGGCAGCCUUGAGUACAGUAGAGGUAGGCGGAAUUCGUGGUGUAGCGGUGAAAUGCUUAGAUAUCACGAAGAACUCCGAUUGCGAAGGCAGCCUGCUGGACUGUAACUGACGCUGAUGCUCGAAAGUGUGGGUAUCAAACAGGAUUAGAUACCCCAGUAGUC
rnacentral:rRNA from 1 species